CCUUCUUAUGCUCGACUGCGAAAUUUUCUUUGACUCGCCUCUGUUAGAGAAAUGAAAUAGUAACGACCUAGGAACUAAGAGCGCAACGAAUCAAUUCCGGCGAAGAAAAAUAAAGAGAGUAAGAAAAUAUCGUCGCACGUGAUUCAAUUGCCCGAGUGGGCGUGGUCUCGCUACUCGUCUCAGAUUUUCUGGAGCCAGAGCAGUGCCCCACGAGAUAAUGCUAUUAUUUCUAAGCAACGAUCGGCUCUGCGCGUCCUUCGCGCAACGAUCGUCAGCGUGUCGUAACCGCUCGCGGAAAUGGUCGGAGGGACCUUCGUGCGGGUGCGAGGAAGACAGAGAAAGGCGAAACUUGUGUCAGCGAUGCUUACAUCGGCCAGGGAAUUGUGAUCGACGGCCGCUACGAUUACGGGAGCAUCGCCCCGGACGCUGAAGCCGAAUCCUUCCCCAUCCGGGCCUCUUUGAAGUUGUAUCAGUCGCGGAGCGGUCCAGUGCCUCUUGGCCGAAAAUAUGGCUACAGGGCCCAGUGAUCUGAACAGGUCGUCCACACCAUGCUGCCCGAAAUCCGGAUGCGUGAUAUUCAGUUGAAAUUUGGUGGAGGCUGUACGCAAACAAGGGAACAAUGUAUCGAGAACGACCAAGGACAAAGUUGUCGUUAACUAUUCGAUCCUUACCGACGAUAUCUGGAGGAUCCAGCAGUCCCCGGAAGUCCUCUUCGUCUCCAAUGCCGUUAUAGCUCUCGACAGUAGACUCCUGCACCGCUUUCAAAACUUUGGCGAGCGCUUGCUUCGCUUUCAGGUCUCUGCACAUCCUUUGCAACCUCUGGCUCUCUUCGUGGAGGACCAACGCCUCUCUGAGAUGCGCUUUACCUGAAACCGGCGAUCAGUAUAAUGUCGGCUUCAGAAAUUUAACCCUAAAUCUAUCGAGCCGGUCAAAACGACCGGGUUUGCAACUUAUGUUUUAAAGUCGCUGAAAUUAUGAAGACCCUUUCAUCGAAAAUGCUUGGAACAUUCUAAUGUUCUAAAUAAAUACAGUCUUUUUGUCAUUA